rnacentral:rRNA from 1 species
CAGAGUUUGAUCCUGGCUCAGGACGAACGCUGGCGGCGUGCCUAAUACAUGCAAGUCGAGCGGACAGAUGGGAGCUUGCUCCCUGAUGUUAGCGGCGGACGGGUGAGUAACACGUGGGUAACCUGCCUGUAAGACUGGGAUAACUCCGGGAAACCGGGGCUAAUACCGGAUGCUUGAUUGAACCGCAUGGUUCAAUUAUAAAAGGUGGCUUUUAGCUACCACUUACAGAUGGACCCGCGGCGCAUUAGCUAGUUGGUGAGGUAACGGCUCACCAAGGCGACGAUGCGUAGCCGACCUGAGAGGGUGAUCGGCCACACUGGGACUGAGACACGGCCCAGACUCCUACGGGAGGCAGCAGUAGGGAAUCUUCCGCAAUGGACGAAAGUCUGACGGAGCAACGCCGCGUGAGUGAUGAAGGUUUUCGGAUCGUAAAACUCUGUUGUUAGGGAAGAACAAGUACCGUUCGAAUAGGGCGGUACCUUGACGGUACCUAACCAGAAAGCCACGGCUAACUACGUGCCAGCAGCCGCGGUAAUACGUAGGUGGCAAGCGUUGUCCGGAAUUAUUGGGCGUAAAGCGCGCGCAGGCGGUUUCUUAAGUCUGAUGUGAAAGCCCCCGGCUCAACCGGGGAGGGUCAUUGGAAACUGGGGAACUUGAGUGCAGAAGAGGAGAGUGGAAUUCCACGUGUAGCGGUGAAAUGCGUAGAGAUGUGGAGGAACACCAGUGGCGAAGGCGACUCUCUGGUCUGUAACUGACGCUGAGGCGCGAAAGCGUG